UGCCCCGCCCCUUCCCCGCGGGGUGGUCCUGCGGCUCUUCCUGGUGUCGCCUUCGAUCCACGUUAUUUCUGGGAGCCGGCGGCUGCUGCCCAGACCAAAGGCCUCUGGACGAUUGCCACCGGCGUGCUCUCCUCCCGUGAUGGGCCUGGGCUGGCAGCCAUAGGUUUACCUUCUCUUCUGUUCUUGCUGGAAUCUGUGCUCCUGUAUCCACCUCAGUCUCCUAGGAACAAGCAGCUUUGAAGUCUUCUUGCUGUAGCUGGUGUGAGUCUCAGUCCACGACUCAGGAGGACAAGAAAUAAAGCUUCUCUCCCAAACUCCA